AAAACGGAGAGUUUGAUCCUGGCUCAGGAUGAACGCUGGCGGUAUGCUUAACACAUGCAAGUCGAACGGGGUGCUUAGGCAUCUAGUGGCGGACGGGUGAGUAACGCGUGAGAAUCUGGCUCCAGGUCGGGGAUAACAGUUGGAAACGACUGCUAAUACCGGAUGUGCCGAGAGGUGAAAGAUUUAUUGCCUGGAGAUGAGCUCGCGUCUGAUUAGCUAGUUGGUGGUGUAAGGGACCACCAAGG
rnacentral:rRNA from 1 species